rnacentral:tRNA from 1 species
UCCCUGGUGGCUCAGAUGGUAAAGAAUCUGCCUGUAAUGCAGGAGACCCAGGUUCGAUCCCUGGAUUGGGAA